UAUUUUUGGUGUUCAGUCUACCGCUCAUGUUCACGUUACAAGGCAACUAGCAUUUUGUCAUGGAAGUUCGUGAAAGAAUGUUCUUGUUUUUCGUUGGAAAAACCAACGCCAAAAAAACAAAAGUCUCCCUUUCUUUUUUCGGAAGCAGAGCUUAAAUUUAACCAACAGCUUACCAAGGCGAUGAUCGUAGCUGGUCCGAGAGGAUGAUCAGCCACACUGGGACUGAGACACGGCCCAGACUCCUACGGGAGGCAGCAGUGGGGAAUUUUCCGCAAUGGGCGAAAGCCUGACGGAGCAAUGCCGCGUGGAGGUGGAAGGCCUACGGGUCGUCAACUUCUUUUCUCGAAGAAGAAACAAUGACGGUAUCUGAGGAAUAAGCAUCGGCUAACUCUGUGCCAGCAGCCGCGGUAAGAGAGAGGAUGCAAGCGUUAUCCGGAAUGAUUGGGCGUAAAACGUCUGUAGGUGGCUUUUCAAGUCCGCCGUCAAAUCCCAGGGCUCAACCCUGGACAGGCGGUGGAAACUACCAGCUCGGUCUUAGCUUUUCCUGUUCACGACUCCGAUCUUCUUUCAUCCGCAGUUCUUGCUAAUGUCUUCACUU
rnacentral:ncRNA from 1 species